rnacentral:rRNA from 1 species
UGGGGAAUUUUGGACAAUGGGCGCAAGCCUGAUCCAGCCAUGCCGCGUGCGGGAAGAAGGCCUUCGGGUUGUAAACCGCUUUUGUCAGGGAAGAAACGCUUCGAGCUAAUACCUUGGAGUAAUGACGGUACCUGAAGAAUAAGCACCGGCUAACUACGUGCCAGCAGCCGCGGUACUACGUAGGGUGCAAGCGUUAAUCGGAAUUACUGGGCGUAAAGCGUGCGCAGGCGGCUAUGCAAGACAGAUGUGAAAUCCCCGGGCUCAACCUGGGAACUGCAUUUGUGACUGCAUGGCUAGAGUACGGUAGAGGGGGAUGGAAUUCCGCGUGUAGCAGUGAAAUGCGUAGAUAUGCGGAGGAACACCGAUGGCGAAGGCAAUCCCCUGGACCUGUACUGACGCUCAUGCACGAAAGCGUGGGGAGCAAA